rnacentral:rRNA from 1 species
UACGUAGGUGGCAAGCGUUAUCCGGAUUUAUUGGGUGUAAAGGGAGCGUAGGCGGACUUUUAAGUGAGAUGUGAAAUACUCGGGCUCAACUUGAGUGCUGCAUUUCAAACUGGAAGUCUAGAGUGCAGGAGAGGAGAAUGGAAUUCCUAGUGUAGCGGUGAAAUGCGUAGAGAUUAGGAAGAACACCAGUGGCGAAGGCGAUUCUCUGGACUGUAACUGACGCUGAGGCUCGAAAGCGUGGGGAGCAAACAGG